GUCUCAUGUAAAUGUAUGAGAAUAAUAAACAUAUCUGUUGGCAUAUGAGGCCUCAGGUUUGUUUCACAAACACCUACACAAAAAAUACUUCUUGGAGGAAGUAUUCAAAUAAUAAUAGAAACAAAUUCAGAAGAUUCUACAAGAAAUGCUGAAAAGUAAUAGUGACUAAAUAGUUGCGUUUACUACUCUGUUAAAAAAGAAACUAAGGAUAAAGAGAAGUAAAUGCCUGAGGAUUAAGUCAAAAUUCAACCUUAUAUUAAAAAAUGAUGAAGGGAAAGGAUGGUAUAUGGAAACAAAAGGGCAUGAGAGCAAAUAAAAGUAUUUGUUUUGUUAGAGGGAAGAUACAAUUAGUGACAUAUUAAACAAAUAACUAGAGUUAAAUAAAUACACAUUUGGUUCUUAAAUUCAGGGCAACUGCUGUUAGCAGCUGAAAGAGAAUAGGUAACUUUUAAACCAGCAGAAGAGAAUUCAAUUGAUA
rnacentral:lncRNA from 1 species